rnacentral:rRNA from 1 species
AAAUUGAAGAGUUUGAUCAUGGCUCAGAUUGAACGCUGGCGGCAGGCCUAACACAUGCAAGUCGAACGGUAACAGGAAGCAGCUUGCUGCUUUGCUGACGAGUGGCGGACGGGUGAGUAAUGUCUGGGAAACUGCCUGAUGGAGGGGGAUAACUACUGGAAACGGUGGCUAAUACCGCAUAACGUCGCAAGACCAAAGAGGGGGACCUUCGGGCCUCUUGCCAUCAGAUGUGCCCAGAUGGGAUUAGCUUGUUGGUGAGGUAACGGCUCACCAAGGCGACGAUCCCUAGCUGGUCUGAGAGGAUGACCAGCCACACUGGAACUGAGACACGGUCCAGACUCCUACGGGAGGCAGCAGUGGGGAAUAUUGCACAAUGGGCGCAAGCCUGAUGCAGCCAUGCCGCGUGUAUGAAGAAGGCCUUCGGGUUGUAAAGUACUUUCAGCGGGGAGGAAGGUGUUGUGGUUAAUAACCGCAGCAAUUGACGUUACCCGCAGAAGAAGCACCGGCUAACUCCGUGCCAGCAGCCGCGGUAAUACGGAGGGUGCAAGCGUUAAUCGGAAUUACUGGGCGUAAAGCGCACGCAGGCGGUCUGUCAAGUCGGAUGUGAAAUCCCCGGGCUCAACCUGGGAACUGCAUUCGAAACUGGCAGGCUUGAGUCUUGUAGAGGGGGGUAGAAUUCCAGGUGUAGCGGUGAAAUGCGUAGAGAUCUGGAGGAAUACCGGUGGCGAAGGCGGCCCCCUGGACAAAGACUGACGCUCAGGUGCGAAAGCGUGGGGAGCAAACAGGAUUAGAUACCCUGGUAGUCCACGCCGUAAACGAUGUCUACUUGGAGGUUGUGCCCUUGAGGCGUGGCUUCCGGAGCUAACGCGUUAAGUAGACCGCCUGGGGAGUACGGCCGCAAGGUUAAAACUCAAAUGAAUUGACGGGGGCCCGCACAAGCGGUGGAGCAUGUGGUUUAAUUCGAUGCAACGCGAAGAACCUUACCUGGUCUUGACAUCCACGGAAG